ensembl:lncRNA
UUGGAACCCUGUUCCUGGUGUGCUCUGCACUACACAGGGUGUGGUUUGGAACCCUGUUCCUGGUGUAGUGCACUACACAGGGUGUGGUUUGGAACCCUGUUCCUGGUGUAGUGCACUACACAGGGUGUGGUUUGGAACCCUGUUCCCGAUGUGGUGCACUACACAGGGUGUGGUUUGGAACCCUGUUCCCGGUGUAGUGCACUACACAGGGUGUGGUUUGGAACCCUGUUCCCGGUGUAGUGCUCUACACUACACAGGGUGUGGUUUGGAACCCUGUUCCCGGUGUAGUGCUCUACACUACACAGGGUGUGGGUUGGAACCCUGUUCCCGGUGUAGUGCUCUACACUACACAGGGUGUGGGUUGGAACCCUGUUCCCGGUGUAGUGCUCUACACUACACAGGGUGUGGGUUGGAACCCUGUUCCCGGUGUAGUGCUCUACACUACACAGGGUGUGGUUUGGAACCCUGUUCCCGGUGUAGUGCUCUACACUACACAGGGUGUGGUUUGGAACCCUGUUCCCGGUGUAGUGCUCUACACUACACAGGGUGUGGUUUGGAACCCUGUUCCCGGUGUAGUGCUCUACACUACACAGGGUGUGGUUUGGAACCCUGUUCCCGGUGUAGUGCUCUACACUACACAGGGUGUGGUUUGGAACCCUGUUCCCGGUGUAGUGCUCUACACUACACAGGGUGUGGUUUGGAACCCUGUUCCCGGUGUAGUGCUCUACACUACACAGCCUCUGUUUAUUUAAGUGGUACUUCUGUUCUGUUGGACAACAGGCUGUAUUUUGAUGUGUGUUUUGGCUGUUGUGUGUUUCUUCCAUUGGGAGGUGCAGUUUGAGACGUCUGCCUGUCGAACAGGGGUUCGACCUUCCUCUGUGGAAGCUGGUAUGGGUGCAGGCUUUAGCUCCCGCCCUGCAGUAAAACCUGUUUCAACUAAUCAUUUUUUAACGUUGAUUUAAUUAUAGUUAAGUCAAAUUCUAGUUAUCAAUAAAGAACAGCUGAUUCAACUGAUCCAAUUAGUCUUGGUCAUCAAUAAAGACUUUAUUAGUGGAGUCUGAUGUGUUACACCCACCGUGGUUCUGACAGGUUCUGGCCCCUGGAGCAGAGAACAGACACCCACCGUGGCCCGGACAGGUUCUGACCCCUGGAGCAGAGAACAGACACCCACCGUGGCCCUGACAGGUUCUGACCCCUGGAACAGAGAACAGAGACACCCACCGUGGCCCUGACAGGUUCUGACCCCUGGAGCAGAGAACAGAGACCCACCGUGGCCCUGACAGGUUCUGACCCCUGGAGCAGAGAACAGACAGGUUCUGACCCCUGGACCAGAGAACAGACACCCCCAGUGAAAGCAGCAUCUAUGUGGGGGAAGUGAUCAGAACCCUGGUCAGGAUAGUGAACGGUGGACCAGUCAAUCUUCAUUUCAUUUGCAUCUCCAUAUACCUUCUCUUCUCGUCAAUAGAGAUGAUUCAUAUGUUGAAAUGUAUAUCAAGAUAUUGUUUAUUUCACUUUUCUUUCAUCCUGGUUCCAUCAAUCGUCCAAUCAUCAAGCCCUUUUGAUAAGUUGAUUGAGGUGUGUUAGGCUGGCACAAAACCCUGCACACCCUGUGUGUU